rnacentral:rRNA from 1 species
GAUGAACGCUGGCGGCGUGCCUAAUACAUGCAAGUCGAGCGAACGGACGAGAAGCUUGCUUCUCUGAUGUUAGCGGCGGACGGGUGAGUAACACGUGGAUAACCUACCUAUAAGACUGGGAUAACUUCGGGAAACCGGAGCUAAUACCGGAUAAUAUUUUGAACCGCAUGGUUCAAAAGUGAAAGACGGUCUUGCUGUCACUUAUAGAUGGAUCCGCGCUGCGUUAGCUAGUUGGUAAGGUAACGGCUUACCAAGGCAACGAUGCAUAGCCGACCUGAGAGGGUGAUCGGCCACACUGGAACUGAGACACGGUCCAGACUCCUACGGGAGGCAGCAGUAGGGACUCUUCCGCAAUGGGCGAAAGCCUGACGGAGCAACGCCGCGUGAGUGAUGAAGUUCUUCGGAUCGUAAAACUCUGUUAUUAGGGAAGAACAUAUGUGUAAGUAACUGUGCACAUCUUGACGGUACCUAAUCAGAAAGCCACGGCUAACUACGUG